UAUUGGUCAAUGGGCGAGAGCCUGAACCAGCCAAGUCGCGUGAAGGAUGACGGCCCUACGGGUUGUAAACUUCUUUUGUCAGGGAGCAAUUGGGUCCACGCGUGGGCUUAGCGAGAGUACCUGAAGAAAAAGCAUCGGCUAACUCCGUGCCAGCAGCCGCGGUAAUACGGAGGAUGCGCGCGUUAUUCGGAUUUAUUGAGUUUAAAGGGUGCGCAGGCGGAAUGUCAAGUCAGCGGUAAAAUUUCGGGGCUCAACCCCGUCGUGCCGUUGAAACUGGCGUUCUUGAGUGAGCGAGAAGUAUGCGGAAUGCGUGGUGUAGCGGUGAAAUGCAUAGAUAUCACGCAGAACUCCGAUUGCGAAGGCAGCAUACCGGCGCUCAACUGACGCUCAUGCACGAAAGCGUGGGUAUCG
rnacentral:rRNA from 1 species